UACGUAGGUGGCGAGCGUUGUCCGGAUUUACUGGGCGUAAAGGGAGCGUAGGCGGACUUUUAAGUGAGAUGUGAAAUACUCGGGCUCAACUUGAGUGCUGCAUUUCAAACUGGAAGUCUAGAGUGCAGGAGAGGAGAAUGGAAUUCCUAGUGUAGCGGUGAAAUGCGUAGAGAUUAGGAAGAACACCAGUGGCGAAGGCGGUUCUCUGGACUGUAGCUGACGCUGAGGCUCGAAAGCGUGGGGAGCAAACAGG
rnacentral:rRNA from 1 species